CUAAUACUCCCUCCAUUCAGAAUUACUUGCGCAGAAAUGAAUGUAUUUAGACGUAUUUUAGUUUUAGAUACAUUCAUUUCCGAGACAAGUAAUUCCGAACGGAAGGAGUAUAAG
rnacentral:pre_miRNA from 1 species